UUUUUUGGAAGAGAGAGUUUUGACCUGGCUCAGGAUGAACGCUGGCGGCGUGCCUAAUACAUGCAAGUCGAGCGAACUGAUUAGAAGCUUGCUUCUAUGACGUUAGCGGCGGACGGGUGAGUAACACGUGGGCAACCUGCCUGUAAGACUGGGAUAACUUCGGGAAACCGAAGCUAAUACCGGAUAGGAUCUUCUCCUUCAUGGGAGAUGAUUGAAAGAUGGUUUCGGCUAUCACUUACAGAUGGGCCCGCGGUGCAUUAGCUAGUUGGUGAGGUAACGGCUCACCAAGGCAACGAUGCAUAGCCGACCUGAGAGGGUGAUCGGCCACACUGGGACUGAGACACGGCCCAGACUCCUACGGGAGGCAGCAGUAGGGAAUCUUCCGCAAUGGACGAAAGUCUGACGGAGCAACGCCGCGUGAGUGAUGAAGGCUUUCGGGUCGUAAAACUCUGUUGUUAGGGAAGAACAAGUACGAGAGUAACUGCUCGUACCUUGACGGUACCUAACCAGAAAGCCACGGCUAACUGCCUCGGAAUCGCCGCGGUAAUACGUAGGUGGCAAGCGUUAUCCGGAAUUAUUGGGCGUAAAGCGCGCGCAGGCGGUUUCUUAAGUCUGAUGUGAAAGCCCACGGCUCAACCGUGGAGGGUCAUUGGAAACUGGGGAACUUGAGUGCAGAAGAGAAAAGCGGAAUUCCACGUGUAGCGGUGAAAUGCGUAGAGAUGUGGAGGAACACCAGUGGCGAAGGCGGCUUUUGGUCUGUAACUGACGCUGAGCGCGAACGUUGGCC
rnacentral:rRNA from 2 species